rnacentral:rRNA from 1 species
CCUACGGGUGGCAGCAGUGAGGAAUAUUGGUCAAUGGUCGGGAGACUGAACCAGCCAAGCCGCGUGAGGGAGGAAGGUACAGAGUAUCGUAAACCUCUUUUGUCAGGGAACAAAGACUGGGACGCGUCCCCGGAUGAGUGUACCUGAAGAAAAAGCAUCGGCUAACUCCGUGCCAGCAGCCGCGGUAAUACGGAGGAUGCGAGCGUUAUCCGGUUUUAUUGGGUUUAAAGGGUGCGCAGGCGGUCUGUUAAGUCAGCGGGCAAAGCCCGGGGCUCAACCCCGGCCCGCCGUUGAAACUGGCAGUCUCGAGUUGGAGAGAAGUAUGCGGAAUGCGCGGUGUAGCGGUGAAAUGCAUAGAUAUCGCGCAGAACUCCGAUUGCGAAGGCAGCAUGCCGGCUCCACACUGACGCUGAGGCACGAAAGCGUGGGUAUCGAACAGGAUUAGAUACCCUAGUAGUC